GUAACUUCAACCCUGCAAAUGCAUCUAAGAAUUACUUAAGAUCAGACACUCGAAUCACAUUUGUUGAGGAGUACCCUAUACUAAAUAUGGAGAUGGAAACCAUAGACAGCGACCCUCUACGAAUAAAUCCAUCACCAGUUCCUGACACAGUUGGAUCGGAAAUAACCAUUGAUGAAGA